GACCACAGCUCAGUGAUAAAGCACCUGCUUUUCAUGCAACAGGUCCCAGGUUCAAAUUCUGGCAACUCUGGAUG